rnacentral:rRNA from 1 species
CCGACGGUGAGGGGUGAAAGCUGGGGGCACGAACCGGAUUAGAUACCCGGGUAGUCCCAGCCGUAAACGAUGCUCGCUAGGUGUCUGGGAUGGUGCGACCGUUUCAGGUGCCGCAGGGAAGCCGUGAAGCGAGCCACCUGGGAAGUACGGCCGCAAGGCUGAAACUUAAAGGAAUUGGCGGGGGAGCACUACAACGGGUGGAGCCCGCGGUUUAAUUGGACUCAACGCCGGAAAACUCACCUGGGGC